rnacentral:lncRNA from 1 species
CACUGUCCCUGGGUGAGCUUCCCCUUCCCGCAUCAGUUUGGCAGGAGGCUAAUUAUUUGUCUUUCGGGCUCUGUCUCUGAGGCUUCAAAUUCUCUGGCAAUGGCAGGUGGGCUUGAGAUUGGACUUCUGUCAUCAGCUUCUGUGAUCUUACUCUGGCAUAGAUAGGGAAAAACAGACUGAGCCUGCCUCACAGCCUGCUUGUCUGACUCCCAGCUUAUUUAAGGAAGAAAGUGCCUACCAGGAAACACGAGGUUUCUGGAUCAGAGACAAACUUGAUUACUCAGAGAACAUAUUUCAUCAGUCUCUCAUGCUCCAAUCCCCCAAAGGGCAAUGCAGUGGGGGCAGAAAUCACCUGUGUGUAUGUGGGGUUUGUACAAGAGAGCUUACACACCUGCUCCCGCCCUCCUCCAGAGAGGGAGAGGGACUUUUGCUUUUUAAUAUAAACAAAUACUCUUCGAGGGAUAA